CCGGCGAAGCUGGCCCGCAACUCAACUCGUCGAAAACUUAUCGUUUACUGUGUUACGUGCAUGUGUAUAAGUAUUAGUGAAACCACGUUUGACAGAUGUUUUGUUUACAUGAAACGUCUUCUUUUCGAUAGUGCCAGAAAUCCUUUCCCCUAAAUUCGUCAACGGUUUUUUUUUUGCGUUUUCAACGACGAGACAAAGUGUAUUUUAGGUAUUUUACAGUUGGAGUUUCUGAUGAACGGGUUGUUGCUGAUUGAAUUAUAUGCUAAAAUAUGUCCGCGAACAUUGCAGAACCAAUUGUGUGACCGAGGAAGAAAUGGAGGAAAGAAUGUGUGGCUGAUGUGGCCAAAAAGAGGCGUACGGUAGUGCCGUCGGAAAGAUCCGGAUGGGGAUAUUAUGAAGGAUCUCAGACCGUACGUGAAGCGACUUCUCCAAACUCAUGAAAAGCAAUUGCAAUGUGGUAAGGAAGAAUGUCACACUCGACCGAACGGCAAAUAAUACACACCGAGCUCCGGUGCAGGUCGAGAAUGCGAUCCCGGGUGAUGUCGUUCCGAAGCGAAAGUAGUCCUGCAGUCUGGCGCAUACAAGCGCAGAUCUAGGACUAGAAGCCGUCCGUAUGAUCGGUCCAGCGCAGUUCGCCGUACAAUCUGAACAAAUCGAUAGCAGGCAAGAUCGAUGAUUUAUAAACAAAAAUAAUCCAGGCCAUCUGUACAUCCAGCUGUACGCCCCUUCUCAUAAACUUAGCCUAUCGUAUUAUUAUAUCCACAACAGAUCCGGUGUGAUGAUCUAUGCUGCUACUGACCAAAUAGCUAAAAUUUAGAAUCUGCCACGACAUUCUGGAACUAGCAGAACCCCCAUAAACACGUAACACUGUGUAAAGGUCUGCACAAGGUAGAACGCAACACCAUGCUGAUGGUCGGUUGGAUGGAUACCCAAACGUCGAUGCCGAUGUACUUCUAAAGAAAAAAAGCAUCCGUUUUGACCACGCUUGAUAUGAUUAAACACUCCCAGACGCUGUGGACAAUGUGCUCCAAUUCUGCGGCUAUCCCGCUUUGGUAGUGUCCCAAUUCUGCACCAUCAUUGGUUCUGAAUGGAAUAUUAUCAAUCGGCCAGAUGUGCGAUCACGUCCUUUCGGUAAACUUGCUGCUAAUUCACAGUUUGCCGAAGAACUUUUGUUGGCAUUUGUGUAUAAUCGGGGAUACAUGCCUGCUAACGGAAAACCGGAUAACUUCCAAGGAUCAAUAGCAUCAAUGAUCAGCAAUAGAGAUAACCAUCACUACUGGCAAAGAUAUCGAAGGAGAGUUUCUACAGGACCGUUCGUAUUACGAUGGAUUCGACGGUUCCGCCGAAACAGACAAUCCACUGGUAGUCGGAGUAGUACCGCAGGGAAACCCAAACAGACACGAGAAGAGCGGGAAUUAUUUUAUUUAAAGUACAUACGAGCAUUUCGGUCAGCAUCAAUUUGGGAAGACAUACAGUAAAAAUAAAACAGUUCCAAUAAACUAUCCUUUCAAUUUUAUUGUUCGUUGUACGAAACGGAAAUUACACAUCUUUUACAUUCAAAAAAUAUUUAUUAUAUCUAUAAUUCCCUCAUUAUAAUAUUUAAUCUUUGUUUCUAUAGGUUAGGCAGGGACUGUUAUUUUUGACAGUUCACACUAUUUAUUACUCAGUCAAUUUUAUACCUACCAAUUGUUUAUUUUUUGUGAUGGCUGGAUGAUGUACGUGGCCGGGUCGUUAAAAUUUAAGGUGAUCCAUCUUGCCCCGCGGUCGUUUAUAUAGGAAACUAUAUGGAAUGUAUCGCAUAAGAAAUAUUACCAAAACAUAUUUUUUUGUUUUAUGAUCAAUUAGAGUGAAUAAUUUUUCAAUAAAUACCCCUAACUUCCUUAGAUUUAUGCUAGUCGCCUAACAUAAUUAUCAACAUAAAUAACACAGCGUAACAAAAAUUUGCUUUUUGUCUGUCUCAAGAGCAAACUUAUGUGUCUCCGAAGGAUUUUGGGCCGCUGAAUCCGAAUCCGGGCUCAGAUUUGCUCUCACACGUCACAAUUUUGAGCUAUACCUCAAUUUAUAGGGCAAAAUAUGCGAUUUUGGGCUUUUUUGACAGCAAGCCAUUAAGCAAGGAAAUAUUUUUUUUAUGCAAUCAAAAGGUUAAUUGGUCAAUUAACAUCUAAAUUAACGGCUCAUGCAAAAUAUUUCGUUUUUCCUAAUCAAAUUUGAUAGUUUUAAGCGAUUUAUGUUAGGUACGAUAUUUCCCAUACAAGUCACCCUCCAAAAGUUGCAUGCAAGUUUUCAUACUAACAUAAAAUGUUAAAAUCUAUCAAAUUUGAUAAGGUAAAACGAAAUAUUUUGCAUGAGUCGUUAAUUUAGAUGUUAAUUGACCAAUUAACCUUUUGAUUGCUUAAAAAAAUAUUACCUUGCUUAAUGGCUUGCUGUAAAAAAAACCAAAAUUGCAUACAGUAGACGUUCGAUAACUGCAACAUGUUUACGUUUCACUUACCGAAUAAAAUUCGAUAACUGCAACAACUGACAGACGUCAAAGAAAUGUCAGUUGCUGAAAUAUGCAGCAAACUGCAUUCGGAAAACAUCGCAUUGCAGCAAAAGUGCAUACGAAAAACAUCGCAUGGCUGUUAACAUUUCAUC